GUCAAAGAUGCAUUUUUCUAAUUUACAAUAAAGUUGAUUCUUUAACAAGGUCUGCAGAACUUGUCUAACGUGAUCGUGGUGAGUCUGAAUGUCAGGAGAAUAAGUAAGGAUAUCAUCCAGAUAGACCAAGGCAAACGAGUAAAUGUAAUCCCCGAGUACAUCAUUUAUGAAAUCUUGGAAAACCGCUGGAGCGUUGCACAACCCGAAUGGCAUCACUAGAUAUUCAUAGUGUCCACUUCUGGUAUUAAAUGCAGUCUUCCACUCGU